rnacentral:rRNA from 1 species
UACGGAGGGUCCAAGCGUUGUCCGGAAUCACUGGGUGUAAAGGGUGCGCAGGCGGGCUUGUAAGUCAGGGGUGAAAGCCACCGGCCUAACCGGUGAACUGCCCUUGAUACUGCAAGUCUUGAAUCCAAGAGAGGCUAUCGGAAUUCGUGGUGUAGCGGUGAAAUGCGUAAAUAUCACGAGGAACACCUGAUGCGUAGGCGGAUAGCUGGAUUGGUAUUGACGCUCAGGCACGAAAGCGUGGGGAGCGAACAGG